rnacentral:rRNA from 1 species
GUGAGGAAUAUUGGUCAAUGGGCGGGAGCCUGAACCAGCCAAGUCGCGUGAAGGAAGAAGGAUCUAUGGUUCGUAAACUUCUUUUGCAGGGGAAUAAAGUGCAGGACGUGUCCUGUUUUGUAUGUACCCUGAGAAUAAGGAUCGGCUAACUCCGUGCCAGCAGCCGCGGUAAUACGGAGGAUCCGAGCGUUCUCCGGAUUUAUUGGGUUUAAAGGGUGCGUAGGUGGUUUGAUAAGUCAGCGGUGAAAGUUUGCAGCUUAACUGUAAAAAUGCCGUUGAAACUGUCGGACUUGAGUGUAAAUGAGGUAGGCGGAAUGCGUGGUGUAGCGGUGAAAUGCAUAGAUAUCACGCAGAACUCCGAUUGCGAAGGCAGCUUACUAAGCUACAACUGACACUGAAGCACGAAAGCGUGGGGAUCAAACAGGAUUAGAUACCCCUGUAGUCC